rnacentral:piRNA from 1 species
UGGAUUUCACUGGAAUCGGUCAUAAAAACU